rnacentral:lncRNA from 1 species
GUACAGAAACCACAAAAAUGGCUAUCAGAAAAAAAACUUGUCCUUAGCUUUUCGGUUGUAACUCCAUUGGAUACUGUCAUGAAAAUGAACGUGGUGUACUUUCCCUGUGAGGAUAUUUCUGUAGAAGUAAAUAUAUUCGGAAUAGCCUGGAGCUUGCAACAUGGGGAUGCAGAACAGAGAACCUCCUGUUUGUGCGCUAGCAGUCGAGCAAGCAUCUACAUGUCACAGGUCCUUCUGGUCCUACAUAGACACUGACUCCUCCAGGGACAUCCAUUCACUAGGGCAGGCGUGGAUGGCGGUGCUGAGUCAUCCGUGGGCACUCAGCCACAGCCUUGCCAGGGAUUUGGACGGGCUUGUGGAACAAACACCGAGGAGCUACGAAAGAUGGGAGCAAAGAAGAUUUGGGCAGAGAAAAAUCCUUGGUUUUGACUCUUGAGAUCGUUAGUCUUCCCAAGCACAGACUAGAGGCUCCAUAGCCCGAACAUUUGAAUUUCUCCAUUUGGAUUUUGGAAAAGAACUACACUAAUCAUCCUUGAUUUUGAUACAGUAGCAUGAUUCUUUAAUUUAUGGGGGAAUGUUGAGACUAAGUGAACCCAUGAGUUAGGACCUAAGCUUUAUUCUGAUAUUUCUUUUCCCUCAUCAGUAACUAUCAGUUUUUAAGAUUAAAGUCUUGUUAGGCCAACACCAGAAUCAGUGUGUGUGUGUGUGUGUGUAUAUACAUAUAUAUAUAUAUACACACAAUUUUUAAAAAUUAAACUUAUUCGUUGAUGAUGUCA